rnacentral:rRNA from 1 species
CGGACGGGUGAGUAACACGUGGAUAACCUACCUAUAAGACUGGGAUAACUUCGGGAAACCGGAGCUAAUACCGGAUAAUAUAUUGAACCGCAUGGUUCAAUAGUGAAAUACGGUUUUGCUGUCACUUAUAGAUGGAUCCGCGCCGCAUUAGCUAGUUGGUAAGGUAACGGCUUACCAAGGCAACGAUGCGUAGCCGACCUGAGAGGGUGAUCGGCCACACUGGAACUGAGACACGGUCCAG